rnacentral:lncRNA from 1 species
UUUUGCAACUACAAAGGGCCCAGAGUUUCCCUUGUGAAUGAGCUCAGCAUCCUCACGUUUCCAAGAGGAAUCAACACUGCAAUUCCUCGGACCACGGUGGCUCUCUUCCCAGCACACCUUUGCUGUGACCUGCACCCCUGCAUUGUCCUCAAAGACACACUAAGAAAACACAUUUCAGAAGGAAGGACGUAACGGAGCUCAUGAUCCUAUGCUCCCCAGUUGGACUCCAUGGGAUACUGUUUCAUAUCUUGUUCUAAUAGGCUCUUCUUUUCCAGAGUUUUUUAUUUUCCCUGGCAUUUUGUGUUUUGGUAAUUGCCUACAAGAAUAGUUCUAUAACAGAAAUCAACAAUGAAAACCAAAUUACCCCUGCCCACAUCCUUUCAUUCCUUUUUCAUCUCUAAUGAUAUUUUCUGUAUGAUGACUAACCCAGACUGACGUAAUUUAUCAAUUGAUCUUGACGAUGUACAUUAGAAAAUGCAUUCUGCAGGCCCCAGCAGGCCAUCUUCCAUGUGCGCCACGUAGCUUUAGAAAACCUAUUAGUGCAACAGAAAUAUCUAAAGCCCAGCCUUUUUGCUAAGAAUAUUAGAACUGGUGCUAAUUACUUUAUUAAUCAUAAAGUGAAACAGCCGUGCUAUGUCACCACAGCCGUAAAAUAAGUGGUUUUAUGGCAAAAGUAGUUAAAGAGAAAGGACAGAUUGGAUUUAUAUCAUGUUUAUCUACCAUUUAUUAAGUAUCUUAAUCAUAUCUCCUCCACAGAGAAGCAAACAUCCCCCUAUUCAAGGUUAAAAGAAGCGUUUGUCUUUGAAGCCCCACUAGAGCAGUUAUCUCUAGUGAACUAGGGUUUUUAAUGGCCUUUCACAAUAAUUACAAAUUUAAUUAACCUCUCUGCUUUGAUCAGUCACGGCUGUUUCUCAUUACCUUCCCCAAUGCCUGUUUCUGAGUCAAGAGCUAUUCCUGGGCCUUCCCUUUCCAGCUAUAAAGUACUGUUUAGGUUUAAUUUAGUCUGGCACAGCUGUAAAGAAAGCAACUCUCCUGCUCAACAGCCUCCAAUGACUCCCCGUUGACCACUGAAUUAAGUACAAACUCCUUAGCCCGGCAUUUGGGCCUUCCACAGUCUGGCCCCAGACCCCCUUCUAAUCUCAUCCCAACUCUUUUUUAAGCAAUCCUAUCUUUCCUUACCAUCUUUCAAAUUUAUUAAAUUCUUACAUACAUCAAGACUUACUUCUAACUUGUCUAUUCUCUUCAGUUGAACUGUCAGUUUCAGUGCCAGUCCCAUGCUGUUUUACAUAUUAUAACUUUAUAAUAUAUUUUAAUGCCUGAUGAGGCUAAUGCUAGUAUCUCCUCAUUACUUUUAUUUUGCCAAAAUAUUUGUCAGUAUACUUACCCAUUUAUUUUUUUCAGAUGAACUUCAGAUCUCCUUUGUUACAUUUCAAAAGAAUAUCUCUUGAUAUCUUAGUUAUGAUUGGGGAAGAACUGGCAUCUUCCUUUGUACAAACCCCUGGACUAUAUGAAUGAAAUGAAGAUGAGUAAUCUGCCAGGAAGAUUUGGAGAUCAAAUCCUAGACUUCUAACUCUUGGAAGUCUAUGUGACAAGGAAGGUAAACAAAUGGAAAACUUUAGUAGGAAUAUUUUUCUCCUCACUCUUUUUCUUACAUGUCACUGAUCUCUAAGACUUCAUGACUUGCCUUUUCUUGAUGCUUCCCGCACAGCUGUUUUCUUUUUCCUCACCACCAGCCCCCGAGCACGCACAGUGGAGGAAUGAGAGAAGCUUACAUAAAAAUAACUUUCUGGAGGCUGAAGUCCAAGGUCAAGGUCAAAGAGCCACAUCUGGUGAGGGCCUUCCUGCUGGUGGGGACUCUGCAGAACCCUGAAGCAUUGCAGGGCAUCACAUGGUGGGGGAGCUUGAGCACACCAAACUGGCUUUUACUAGAGACCCACUCUCAUGAUAACUAACCCACUCCUGUGAUAACCCAUUAAUUAAUUAACCCUUAAUAGAUUAAUCCAUUGAAUGGGAAGAUGUGCCUACUUCCCCUUUGCCUUCCACCGUGACUGUACAUUUCCUGAGGACUCCCUAGCCAUGCUUUCUGUACAGCCUGCUGAACUGCAAGGACCUGGAAAUCAGACACACCUGGGUUCCUGGUGAGCUUCACUGCUUCCUGGUCUCUGAUAUCAGCUCUGCCCAAAUUUCAGCUGUCACAGAAUGAGUGAUCCUCAUAGUAUAAUGGAAAUGCAUCAUCUCAGUUUCCCCAUGGCCUGAAUGUCCAUACAAAAUGAGAGCCAGUAGAGAAAAACAGAGGACGUGAGGAGUUUUUAAAAAUUGAGGAAAAGUGGAAGGAAAAGUAAGGAUGAAGGUGAAGAUGAAGGAAUAUGUCAGAGAUGCUAGCACUGGCAUCCCCCACCACACAGUACCAUGUACUGCUAAAGAACUCUAGAACAUACAGGGUGUAGACGGCAGUCUUCUUGGGGAAAAAGAGGCUUCAGGAUUGCAAGAUUUCAGCUACUGUCUCUCCUCGGAGCAGGAUUCCAUCUUUUCCAUGGCUGGGGCCCUUGACACAUGUCACUGUGCACUGCUCUUCUCGCUGGGGAAAAGGAAACUGAGGCCCAGAGAGGGCAAGUGAAUUUCCCAAGAGUGUCCAGAUGAUACGGAGCUGAGCUGGAAAGUGAGCCUGGAUCUCUCUGGUUCUGAAAGCUUUGCUCGAAAGCACAGGAUGACACCUCCAUUGACUUGAAUCUUGCUUUCUGACAUGCUGGCUGUGGCUUGCUUGGGACCUGAAUAAGAGCUUGCUUACUCCCGGUGUUCACCACAGCGGAACCAUGGGUGCAGAAAUGUAAUUCUCUGCACUAUCUUUCUGGAAUUGGGAGGGGCACAGAAGCAGGAAAAGUGAAUUCCAGGAAAGUUGUUGCAUGUUGGAAGCUGUGUUGUGGGGAAGUGACAAGUUGCUUGCUAUCUGAAUGGGGAUGGGAUCCUUUGUGAAGGCAGCAUGAAUCACCAACAGGUAGGAUUAGAUGGAUGAUGGUUGUAUUUGGAAUUGUAGCCACACCCUUGGGACUGCAGCCCUGUGAAGACUGAGGUUCUGACGAAAGUCAAGAAAAAUCUGCAUUGCAACUCUUCGAAGAGAAGAAUGUGACAUCUUGAGUGGGUGAAUUUUACUUUCUUCUUGAUAGUGUUUUAAAAUUUUUAGAAAUGUUUUGCAAUGUCUUAAAAGUGACCUUCUACCCAGAAUUUGGUUAAUGUUCAGUUUUAUUUCCUUCUUAUUUUUCUGAGUAUUUACUUUUUCAAUUCAGCUGAAACUUUUCAAGAAUACCAUGACCUUUCUCUCCUUUUAAAAAAAAAGUUUCAAACAGACAAUGUUAAAACAGAAGAAGUUUUGGAAAUCAACUACUUAAUCUAUUAUGAUAUGGAAACUGUAAACUAAAACUGUUCAUAUCCACUCCCCAAGAUUACAUCAAGAGUGGCAGGGCUGGGACACCAGAGUUUCCGGAAUGGCUCCUCAGGGCUCCAGCUGCAACAAACUCGCUGUGCCAAUGUGCAUGCAGUUCCUGAUUCUAAUCAAAUAAGUAUCAUAACCGAGUUCACCCGAAAUAGAGUAUACUGCACAGAAACUUAAUAAUGGGUGAGAAAGACACAUUCGUGACAUUAGCAAUUAUUACCAUACGUGGUCAAAUCCAUUUUUAUUUUCUGUUUUCUCAUUUUGUGAGUCCUCUGGGAUCUACACACAGGUACCAAUUUUUUGCCUAUUCCUGGCACCGCGCACUGCUUAAUCAUCCUCCCCACACUGACUUUGUUGACCAUGCUCGAUUGUCAAUACCAAUAGUUCUCCAGGGGUGGCUCAGAUACCCACAGGGGUCCCUGAGAUCCUUUAAGGGGUCUGCGAGAUCAAAACAAUUUUCAUAAUAUGUCGUUUUCCAGAGGCAGCUGCAUAAAUCACAGGAGACUGAAUACAGGAGAAGAUGUAAGAAUCCAGUCAGCUUCUAUCAAACCAGACAUAAAAGACAUUUGCAGAUAUGUAAAACAAUGCCACUCUUCACAUUGCAUUUUUAAAAAAUAUUAUUUCCCAGAAAAUAUAUCAUCUAUGUUAAUAUGGAAUGGGGUUUGUUAGAAACCUCUUUAAAUUUCAAGUAAUUAACAAUUUAAAAGGCAGAUAUCUAGAGCUAUAGGAGUACAAUUAAUGAGGACUCAGUCUUCAAAGUCCAAAGCGAGAGCAGAUGGAGAAACAGUUCUCAGCAUUUGGUGUUCUGCGAGCCCUCAUGGGAGGAAGAAUUUGUUCCAGCAUAAAGAGACGUAAGAACGAGUACUAGGAGGCAAAGGAGACAGCAUUGAUAAACCAAGAUAAAGACAUCUAAAUAGGGCUGAGCAUGGAGACUCAUGCUCGUAAUGCUAGUGCUUUGGGAUGCCAAGGCAGGAGAAUCACUUGAGGCUGGGAGUUUGAGACUGACCUGGGCAACAUAGUGAGACGCUGUCUCUACAAAAAAUAAAUAUAAUUAGCCAGGGAUGAUGGUAUGUUGCAGAAGUGGAAUUUAUUCAUAAUUUAUGCAACAAAUACUCAUGAUGUUCAAGGUUCUGGUGUGCAACAGUAAACUUACAUUCCCUCACUUUAGGUUAGUGAGAAUGAAAGAUAAUAAAAAACAAAAAAUAUAUAUAAUUCAAGUGGAUGUAAGUGUUGUGAAGAAAAUACACCAGUGAUCAUAAUAGAAAUGCAAUCUAUUCUCGGCUUGUCAUUAUAUUUUAAUCUUUUUAUGGCCUUUUGUUCUGAUAUUGGUACAUAAAAGUUUAAAUCCUAAUGUAUUAAAAAAGUUUAAUAUCACUAUAAUUUCAGAACUUUAUAUCAUGCUUAUCAUACCAUCCCAUAGUAUGGGGGACUACAGGUGUGCACCAUCAUGGCCAGCUAACUUUGUACUGUCUGUAGAGACGGAAUUUUGCUAUGUUACCCAGGCUGGUCUCAAACCCGAGGGCUCAAGCAAUCCUCCUGCCUCAGCCUCCCAAAGUCCUGGGAUUAAAGGCAUGAGUCACCAUGCCCAGCCAGUGGUUGAAACUCUUAUUAUGGCCAUUCUGCGGAUGAGAAGACUGAGUCAUCAGGAGGCAGGGCUUGCCAAGGUCACUGUGUUGGGGAAACACAGUCAGGAUAUGAACUCAGGCUCUUGGGGUCCCUGCUGGUCACUGUCACCCCGUGGCCCUUCUGAAGAAUGUCACAGGAAAGCAAAGCUGAGAGGGCCUCGUGAACUCAUCCAUGCCUGUCUCCCACACUGACCUGCACCUUUGGUCCCAGAGGUGCUUAUGAAAGACAGAUGCUCAGAUCCCUCCUUAGAGAGUCAGAUUCAGGAGGUCUGAUGUGAAUCCCAGAGACCUGGAAUUUUACUGAUGGCCCAGAUAAUUUUUAUGGUCAGAUACUGACCUAAUUCCACCCAGUUUCCCACUAAAUUUUGUAAGUGAGGAAAGCAAUGCAGAAGAGUUACAGGAAGGCCCAGUGUUACAUGCCCAGGUCAUGGCCCAGGGCCAAGCCAGCCCCAAAGGUGGGACCCUGGUUCUCUUAGCCUUCCCUGACACCUGUCACCCUGGCUGCUGCUCCAGGGAACCCUCUCUCGGGAGAAGCUUGAGCAAAUGUUGAUCUUCCCAGAACAGGGGUCUACAGAAUCCAGAGGUGUGGAAACAGUGGGAUGCUAAUAGCUGUUAGAAUUUUGGUUCAUCCAUAGAUCCAAACUUUGAAGCAUUGAGACAAAAGAUAGCUGUGCUUUGAUAGAGAAAAUAGAUAAGAAAAGGGUGUGAAAUCUGAGUGUCACAGAAGAAAAAGGAAGAGAUGACAAAAGAACCCGGCAGUUCCUAGGAGCCCAGCCCCGGGCAAGCUCUUUCUCCAUGUGUUAUUUCAUUUAAUCCUGAAAACAACGUUAUUAAUUCCUAUCAUUGGUGCUUUACAGAUGAGAAAACCACAGCUUUGACUGAUUAAAUCAUAGCCUUUCUUAACACCAUGAAUUAUACUUUGGGAAAUAGUACUCCAGAGAAGUUCUUCUCAACCAAAGAGUCAGGAUCCAGGGGAAUAGGGGGCUAAGCGUGGACUGGAGGAAUGAAGACACUUGGCUUCCAGCUUUUUGUAUGUCAGUCUCCUUGGUCCACACCACAGAGCUCCUUUGGACAUCAUUAUAUCCGCAAGAUGUAAUCAUUACAUCUUCUCAGGCCAAGCAAGGUACAAAGUGCCAAAAUCUUAAAAGAGGGGGCAUUGGAUAGAAAAUAUUGGACAACCUCUUUUCCUAAGAGAAGAAGAUCUUUAGAAGAAAAUAAAGCUAUUUAUACCUCUGUUUCUAAAUACAACCAUUUUUAUACCUGCCCUGGAGUUGGUUCCCAGAAGAGGAUACCCAUUCCAUGGCUUUCUUUGAAUUGGCAUUUCUAACUUCAAACUAGAGGAAUUAGUCAAAGUUCUUUAACACACUAAACCACCCAUAGGAAUGGAACUCACCAAUAUAGGGGACAGGCAAGCGGGUUUCUGGGUUCUUUAGUCAUUGACAAGGGUUAACAGCUUAAAGGUUAUUGGGGUUUCUGGCUACACGCUAAGAGUCCUGCUUCCUAAUGUAAGCUCCCCUCCCCCACAUUCUUUAAACACAUUACUUCCUCAAGCACUUCCUCUGGCUUAGGGGCGGGGUUGGGGGGAGAAGGAUGCAAAUUUAUCUAAUCUCUAAAAAAAACCUCUGGUAUUUGUGCAGUGAGUUUCAGGCUGAAGAGAAGAGAGAGACCUGCGGCUGUUUCCGCCCACUCGUCCCAGCACAGCCACCAGAGAACGCCGCGUGGUUUGUUGUUUGGACCCUCCCAGAGCCUCUUCCAGAUGCUGUUGGAAAAAAAGAAAAGAAAAGCUGGGCAGCCAGUGUCACAGCCCAGAUGCCAUCUCGGUCUAUCCGCGGAAAUGCAAGCACGCAGCGCCAAGCCCAACCCAGUAGGUGCCAGGCCCUGGGUGCAGGCUUCAGCUUCACGCCACAUCCUCUCUCUCUUUUCAGUCUCUGAGUGACUUGACUCAGCCAGGGAGAGGAGAUACCUACACAUCCGCAUGAAGGCGCGUGGGAGGAAGCCGAGAAAUGACGGAUGGCGCAGGGCCUACUGCAGCCGCACGUAGACUAGCUCCUUCUUUACGGGCAAAACCCCCUACUUGUCUGCAGUGGGAAAGGAGUCCGUUCAGGGCAAGCUCUGAUCGCUGAGCUAUGGAUGAAGAAGUGGGCAGAGCAGGUUCCUUCCUCACCAGCGUCACCUGCUUUUCUCUUCCAAGUUCAAACUCGGCUUAGGUCCCCGCCUAGGGAAAAGGACAUCAGAUUCCAGGACUGGCCUGCUGUACCAGGCGGAGAGCACGAGAAACCUUCCUGCUGUAUGGUGUUUUGGCAUAGAUAUUCUGGAUGUGACUUGAGACUGCUUGCUGUUUCCGGACCAUUUACACCCAUUGUUGUCUUGUGAGCCCAGUCACGGCCUGACACGGAACGCCUCUCAUGUAAUCUUCUCAUAGGAAUCUAACUAAUGCAGAGUGCUGUGGCAUUGUCAGCCCUCAUCUUACACACUGCUCAGGAUGCAAAGGUGGCUAGUAUAGUAACAUCUGCCUCUUUAGCAAGAGCCUCAGUUGCUCCAAUUUAAAUACGGGGAGGGAGCUGGGUGCAGUGGCUUAUGCCUGUAAUCCCAGCGUUUUGGGAGCCAAGGCAGGAAGAUCGCUUGAGCCAAGGAGUUCAAGACCAGCCUGGGCAAAUUAGCAAGACCUCCUCUCUACGAAAUUUUUUUAGAAAACUUAGACAGGAGGCCAGGCCCAGUGGCUCAUGCCUGUAAUCUCAGCACUUUGGGAGGCCAAGGGGGACGGAUCACUUGAGGUCAGGAGUUCGAGAUCAGCCUAGCCAUGAUGGUGAAACCCCUUCUCUACCAAAAAAAUACAAUUACAGGCACGUGGUGGCGCAUGCCUGUAAUCCCAGCUACUCAGGAGGCUGGGGUGGGAGUAUCACUUGAACCUGGGA